GCCCGGGUGGUGGAACUGGUAGACACGCAGGACUUAAAAUCCUGUGGCUUUUGCGGCCGUGCCGGUUCGAUUCCGGCUCCGGGUA
rnacentral:tRNA from 1 species